rnacentral:tRNA from 1 species
GUCUGCUAGCUUAACGGUAAAGCGACCCCUCCACAAGCCAAUCGUAAAAGUUGGUUUGUGAAGGUGAGAUAGUUGGUUCGAAUCCGACAGCAGACA